rnacentral:rRNA from 1 species
UACGGAGGGUGCAAACGUUGCUCGGAAUCAUUGGGCGUAAAGCGCACGUAGGCGGCUCGUUAAGUCGGAUGUGAAAGCCCUCGGCUCAACCGAGGAAGUGCAUACGAAACUGGCGAGCUUGAAUAUGGAAGAGGGUCGCGGAAUUCCCGGUGUAGAGGUGAAAUUCGUAGAUAUCGGGAGGAACACCAGUGGCGAAGGCGGCGACCUGGGCCAAUAUUGACGCUGAGGUGCGAAAGCGUGGGGAG